UCAUUGACAGAGCGUUGCAUCCCACGCCUUCGGCUCGAGCUGCAAACGUCACACUUGGCAAAAUAUAAAGUUCUAAACAAGGACUUAUUCUACUACUUCU